AUGUUAAGGAGUAACUGUUUGAGGGAUUUGCAAUCCAAAGCGGUAACCCUAAAAUCCCUUAUAAAUACCUAUCAACCCAAUCAAAUUCUCAUUCUGUUGCAUCCACACGCCGUUUUUGCUCACACUGUCGGUGGAGAUCCAUCUGCCUUCAGUUUCAUCUCCGAAAAGAUUCAAUUUUGUGUGUGGACGGUAUUAACAACUAGUCACGAUGGUGAAGUUUACAGCUGA